rnacentral:rRNA from 1 species
UAAUACGGGGGGGGCAAGCGUUGUUCGGAAUUACUGGGCGUAAAGAGCUCGUAGGCGGCUUGUUUAGUCGGACGUGAAAUCCCUUGGCUUAACUGAGGAACUGCGUCCGAUACUGGCAGGCUUGAAUCCGGGAGAGGGAUGCGGAAUUCCAGGUGUAGCGGUGAAAUGCGUAGAUAUCUGGAGGAACACCGGUGGCGAAGGCGGCAUCCUGGACCGGUAUUGACGCUGAGGAGCGAAAGCUAGGGUAGCAAACGGGAUUAGAUACCCCGGUAGUCCUAGCCCUAAACGAUGAAUGCUUGGUGUGGCGGGUAUCGAUCCCUGCUGUGCCGAAGCUAACGCAUUAAGCAUUCCGCCUGGGGAGUACGGUCGCAAGGCUG